rnacentral:rRNA from 1 species
GACGAACGCUGGCGGCGUGCCUAAUACAUGCAAGUCGAGCGGGGAUUAUGCUUGAUCGCUUCGGUGAGACGGCAUAUAUCCUAGCGGCGGACGGGUGAGUAACGCGUGGGUAAUCUACCUCGUAGUUCGGGAUAACAGGCCGAAAGGCUUGCUAAUACCGGAUGAGUUCAUGCUUAUGCAUAUAGGCAUGAAGAAAGGGCUAGCCCGCUAUGAGAUGAGCCCGCGUCCCAUUAGCUUGUUGGUGGGGUAAUGGCCUACCAAGGCAACGAUGGGUAGCCGGCCUGAGAGGGUGUACGGCCACACUGGGACUGAGACACGGCCCAGACUCCUACGGGGGCAGCAGUAGGGAAUUUUCGGCAAUGGGCGAAAGCCUGACCGAGCGACGCCGCGUGAGGGACGAAGGCCUUCGGGUGUAAACCUCUGUCUGGGGGAUGAGAACGGACGGUACCCCGGAGGAACGCCCGGCUAACUACGUG